GUAUAAUUCCGCUUGAAACCAAAAUGAGAGAGAUCUAACUCUACAUCAUCCCUGUUCUUGCUCUCAUAGUUUCGACAUUUAGCACAAGGACACUUAAUCUUUCCAUUCUGGACUACACUUGGCGUAGAGAAAGCAAAAUCUAUGAAUUCUUUUGUCUUAUUAUACCACUCAUCAGUUGAUUUACUAUGAGUCCAACCACUAUAUAUUCACUCACGUUCCGCCAUUCAAUAAUGUUGUUAUUGCACAAUUUGGAAUAUAUAACAGUUAAUGAUCUAACACGGCAAUGAAGAAAUUACAUAAACAAGUAUAGAGACGUGGAAUAGUGGACAUUGGACCUGUCAAUGGAGAGGGCUGCGGUGCAACACUAUCACUCCUCAAACUUGGCCUUCGUAGAAGUACACCGUCCUG
rnacentral:rRNA from 1 species